UUAAGCGACUAAGCGUACACGGUGGAUGCCCUGGCAGUCAGAGGCGAUGAAGGACGUGCUAAUCUGCGAAAAGCGCCGGCGAGGUGAUAUGAACCUUUGACCCGGCGAUGUCCGAAUGGGGAAACCCAGUGUGUUUCGACACACUAUCGUUAACUGAAUACAUAGGUUAACGAGGCGAACCGGGGGAACUGAAACAUCUAAGUACCCCGAGGAAAAGAAAUCAACCGAGAUUCCCCCAGUAGCGGCGAGCGAACGGGGAGCAGCCCGGAGUCUGAAUCAGUUUGUGUGUUAGUGGAACGGUCUGGAAAGUCCGACGGUACAGGGUGAUAGUCCCGUACACGAAAAUGCACAUGCUGUGAACUCGAAGAGUAGGGCGGGACACGUGGUAUCCUGUCUGAAUAUGGGGGGACCAUCCUCCAAGGCUAAAUACUCCUGACUGACCGAUAGUGAACCAGUACCGUGAGGGAAAGGCGAAAAGAACCCCGGCGAGGGGAGUGAAAAAGAACCUGAAACCGUGUACGUACAAGCAGUGGGAGCCUCUUUAUGGGGUGACUGCGUACCUUUUGUAUAAUGGGUCAGCGACUUAUAUUCUGUAGCAAGGUUAACCGUAUAGGGGAGCCGAAGGGAAACCGAGUCUUAACUGGGCGUUAAGUUGCAGGGUAUAGACCCGAAACCCGGUGAUCUAGCCAUGGGCAGGUUGAAGGUUGGGUAACACUAACUGGAGGACCGAACCGACUAAUGUUGAAAAAUUAGCGGAUGACCUGUGGCUGGGGGUGAAAGGCCAAUCAAACCGGGAGAUAGCUGGUUCUCCCCGAAAGCUAUUUAGGUAGCGCCUCGUGAACUCAUCUUCGGGGGUAGAGCACUGUUUCGGCUAGGGGGCCAUCCCGGCUUACCAACCCGAUGCAAACUACGAAUACCGAAGAAUGUUAUCACGGGAGACACACGGCGGGUGCUAACGUCCGUCGUGAAGAGGGAAACAACCCAGACCGCCAGCUAAGGUCCCAAAGUCAUGGUUAAGUGGGAAACGAUGUGGGAAGGCACAGACAGCCAGGAUGUUGGCUUAGAAGCAGCCAUCAUUUAAAGAAAGCGUAAUAGCUCACUGGUCGAGUCGGCCUGCGCGGAAGAUGUAACGGGGCUAAACCAUGCACCGAAGCUGCGGCAGCGACGCUUAUGCGUUGUUGGGUAGGGGAGCGUUCUGUAAGCCGUUGAAGGUGUGCUGUGAGGCAUGCUGGAGGUAUCAGAAGUGCGAAUGCUGACAUAAGUAACGAUAAAGCGGGUGAAAAGCCCGCUCGCCGGAAGACCAAGGGUUCCUGUCCAACGUUAAUCGGGGCAGGGUGAGUCGACCCCUAAGGCGAGGCCGAAAGGCGUAGUCGAUGGGAAACAGGUUAAUAUUCCUGUACUUGGUGUUACUGCGAAGGGGGGACGGAGAAGGCUAUGUCAGCCGGGCGACGGUUGUCCCGGUUUAAGCAUGUAGGCGGAGGUUCCAGGUAAAUCCGGUACCUUGUUAACGCUGAGGUGUGAUGACGAGGCACUACGGUGCUGAAGUGAUAAAUGCCCUGCUUCCAGGAAAAGCCUCUAAGCAUCAGGUAACACGAAAUCGUACCCCAAACCGACACAGGUGGUCAGGUAGAGAAUACCAAGGCGCUUGAGAGAACUCGGGUGAAGGAACUAGGCAAAAUGGUGCCGUAACUUCGGGAGAAGGCACGCUGAUAUGUAGGUGAAGCCCCUGCGGGCGGAGCUGAAAUCAGUCGAAGAUACCAGCUGGCUGCAACUGUUUAUUAAAAACACAGCACUGUGCAAACACGAAAGUGGACGUAUACGGUGUGACGCCUGCCCGGUGCCGGAAGGUUAAUUGAUGGGGUUAGCGGCAACGCGAAGCUCUUGAUCGAAGCCCCGGUAAACGGCGGCCGUAACUAUAACGGUCCUAAGGUAGCGAAAUUCCUUGUCGGGUAAGUUCCGACCUGCACGAAUGGCGUAAUGAUGGCCAGGCUGUCUCCACCCGAGACUCAGUGAAAUUGAACUCGCUGUGAAGAUGCAGUGUACCCGCGGCAAGACGGAAAGACCCCGUGAACCUUUACUAUAGCUUGACACUGAACACUGGUCCUUGAUGUGUAGGAUAGGUGGGAGGCUUUGAAGCGUGGACGCCAGUCUGCGUGGAGCCGCCCUUGAAAUACCACCCUUUAAUGGCUGGUGUUCUAACGUAGACCCGUAAUCCGGGUUGCGGACAGUGUCUGGUGGGUAGUUUGACUGGGGCGGUCUCCUCCCAAAGAGUAACGGAGGAGCACGAAGGUUGGCUAAUCCUGGUCGGACAUCAGGAGGUUAGUGCAAUGGCAUAAGCCAGCUUGACUGCGAGCGUGACGGCGCGAGCAGGUGCGAAAGCAGGUCAUAGUGAUCCGGUGGUUCUGAAUGGAAGGGCCAUCGCUCAACGGAUAAAAGGUACUCCGGGGAUAACAGGCUGAUACCGCCCAAGAGUUCAUAUCGACGGCGGUGUUUGGCACCUCGAUGUCGGCUCAUCACAUCCUGGGGCUGAAGUAGGUCCCAAGG
rnacentral:rRNA from 1 species